rnacentral:misc_RNA from 1 species
AGCCGCGGUAAUUCCAGCUCCAAUAGCGUAUAUUAGUGUUGUUGCGGUUAAAAAGCUCGUAGUUGAAUUUCGGGAUUGGGAUAUAUUGGUCAUGCCUUUAGGGGCAUGAAUCGGUGUGUAGCCAAUUUCUUACCUUCUGGUGAAUUGGGAUGCUCUUGGGUGUUUCAAUGAACUAGGACUUUUACUUUGAAAAAAAUAUAGUGUUUAAAGCGGGCAUUUUUGCUUGAAUACAUUAGCAUGGAAUAAUAAAAUAGGACGAUGGUUCUAUUUUGUUGGUUUUAGGACCACGUAAUGAUUAAUAGGGAUAGUUGGGGGCAUUAGUAUUCAAUAGUCAGAGGUGAAAUUCUUGGAUUUAUUGAGGACUAACUACUGCGAAAGCAUUUGCCAAGGAUGUUUUCAUUAAUCAAGAACGAAAGUUAGGGGAUCGAAGACGAUUUAUGUACGUCGUAGUCUUAACCAUAAACUAUGCCGACUAGGAAUCAGACAAAGUUCAUUUUUUAACGACUUGUUUGGUACCUUACG